AUGGCCUCCUCCCCCGUCCUUCCCAUGGGCUGCAGGUUCAGCCCGUCCGACGCCGACCUCAUCUCCUUCUACCUCCGCCCCAUGAUCGCGGGCGAGCCCCUCCCUGAGGCCGCCGCCAGGUUCCUGCACACCGCCGACGCGUACGGCGCAGAUCCGGCCGCCCUCGUCUCGGGCCUCCUGCCCGCGGUCCCGCUGGCGCCCAAGACCGGGGCCGAGCGGCGGUGCUGGUACUUCUUCUGCUCCGCCAAGGCCCUGUCCGGGCACGACAAGCGCAGGUCCCGCGCCGUCGGCGGCGGCGAGGGCACGUGGCACGCCGAGAAGGGGAGGGCGGCCGUCCUCGACGGCGAGGGACGCGUCGUCGGGUACAAGCAGAGUUUCAGGUACAAGCCCAUCCAUUCCGACGGAUCCGUGGAGGCCGUGUGGCUCAUCGUCGAGUUCCGUGUGGCUCAUGAUCGUCAAGGAGAUGAAGAGAAAGGUGAGACAGUUCCAGUUCUUUGCAAGGUCUACCAGAGCCCGCGCAAGCCCCGAUCUGCGUCCGUCCCGACGUCGCCGGCAUACAGGAGGGGGAGGAAGAGGAAGGCCGGAGACGACUCAGCUCCGGUGAAGACUGUGAAGCGGCAGCUGCUUGUUUCUCCUGCUGCACCAAUUCUGCUGCCGGCCGUCGAGCCACAGCCAGACUUGAACAACUGCUCGGAUGGCGUCUCAGUGGACCAGCUUCUUGAUGAUCUCAUGUCCGGCCUCACGCCUGAUCAAGUCUUGGGUGACUUCUUGAUGCCUUUACCUGAAUCAGAUGUCAAUUGCAGCUUCUCCAUGGCCAAUGAGAAUUCUGAUCAAGUCUUUCUGGGUGACUUGUUGAUGCCUGUCCCUGAACCAGUGGUCAACUACAGCUUCUGCAUGCCCGACCAUGCCGGUUCCAUGGUGAGCAACUACGGCACCGUCCUCCAUGGUGGUUCAGUCACACCCCUUUUUCACAAUUCUGAUCAAUUUGACUUGUCGGUGCCCAUCAUCGAACCACUGCCAACUGACUUGCAGAGCCAGACAGCAAUGCUAAAUUUCAGCUUCCUGUCGUGUGCCCCGUAUGCUGGAAUUUGCGAUUCUUGGACAGGAGGCGAGAGCACGGAUGAUGAAGCGGCCUCAGUCAGCUGGUAUGACUCUGCUCAAAGCUCACCGGCGGUUCCAACCGAGUGGAUGAUGCAAUCACCAUUUGCCACCCCAUAUCUAUUCUGA
rnacentral:rRNA from 1 species